CUACGGGCGGCUGCAGUAAGGAAUAUUGCGCAAUGGAGGCAACUCUGACGCAGCCAUGCCGCGUGCAGGAAGAAGGCCUUAUGGGUCGUAAACUGCUUUUAUUUAGGAAUAAACCCCCGAACGUGUUCGGGGCUGAAGGUACUAAACGAAUAAGCACCGGCUAACUCCGUGGCCAGCAGCCGCGGUAAUACGGAGGGUGCAAGCGUUAUCCGGAUUUAUUGGGUUUAAAGGGUGCGCAGGCGGGCUAUUAAGUCAGUGGUGAAAUCCCGGGGCUCAACCCCGGAACUGCCAUUGAUACUGAUAGUCUUGAGUUUGGUUGAAGUGGGCGGAAUGUAGCAUGUAGCGGUGAAAUGCAUAGAUAUGCUACAGAACACCAAUCGCGAAGGCAGCUCACUAAGCCAAAACUGACGCUCAUGCACGAAAGCGUGGGGAUCAAACAGGAUUAGAUACCCUAGUAGUC
rnacentral:rRNA from 1 species